CACAUCACGCCGUGGGAUAGGUCUCCCCAAAUUGAGGCUGUGCUUGAGACGAUCAUGCGAUUGAAUGAUGAGCGCGUCAUGCUUGUCUUUCUGUUCGGCGCGAUCGGUGACUCGGAGCUCCGCAAUCCCCUGGGACACUGUUCCGCCCUCGAUAGCUCUGCGAUCGGCGUCUCGCCAUUGCUCACAACGAAUGGCUGCCUGUAGCAAGAUAUUGCGGGGAGAGGGCUAUCGAAUCCUCCAUUGAAACGUUUUGGAUCAGUUUCCCAGCUAAGGGGACCCUGUGGUGGUGUGCGUAGCGCACCAUGGCCCAGACCCUUCAGAUGGCGAUUCCUAACUUUGGUAACAACGUCCUGGAGUGUCUGAACGAGCAGCGUCUCCAGGGGCUCUACUGCGAUGUCUCCGUGGUCGUCAAGGGACACGCCUUCAAGGCUCACCGUGCCGUGCUUGCGGCCAGCAGCUCUUACUUCCGGGACCUGUUCAGCACUGGGGGAGGCGGCGGCUCCAAGACCCCCACAGUGGUGGAGCUCCCCCCGGCCGUCCAGCCCCAGAGCUUCCAGCAGAUCCUGGCCUUCUGCUACACAGGCCGCCUCAGCAUGACAGUGGGAGACCAGUUCCUCCUCAUGUACACCGCAGGCUUCCUGCAGAUCCAGCAGAUCAUGGAGAAGGGCACCGAGUUCUUCCUCAAGGUUUCCUCGCCCAGCUGUGACUCCCAGGGCCUGCAAGCUGAGGAGGCUCCGCCCUCCGAACCCCAGAGCCCCGUCACUCAAACCGUUGCCAUGGGGACUGGCAGUCGCCCCGCCUCCUGCCUUACCCCCCUUCCCCUCGUGUCGCGGGUGAAGACAGAGCAGCAGGGCAACCAAUCAGAAGCCUCGCCCUACUCGGUGGUGUGCACCCCUGUGGCCAAGCGCUUGUGGGAGGGCGGCAGCAGCCGAGACGGGGGUGGAGGGGGCUCAGGUGGAGGCGGAUCCAGGAAGGCCGCCCGCUUUUCCCAGGAGUCCGUGCGAGGGAGUGCCAUCCAGAGCUCGGGGGCACUGGCACUUGCCAUGGGGAUGGGGGCCAGCGGGGCGGGGAUAGGAUCAGGGGUCGGGGGUCACGGCAGCGGUUCCAACGGGAGUGUGGUCUCCAUGGGCAACGUGGCAUCGGAGGGCGCCAGCCCGGGCACGAUGAGCGCCUACACCAGUGACUCGCCUAUCAGUUACCAUGACGAGGAGGAAGAGGAGGAGGUGACGGAGGAGCAGACGGAGGAACAGUACAGGCAGAUCUGUAACAUGUACACCAUGUACAGCAUGCUCAACGUGGGCGCCGCAGCUGGUGAGCGUGUGGAGGCCCUACCGGACCACUCAGAGACCCGGGGUCGUAUGCGGGGUCGCCAGGACCUGUCGUCUCUCCCCGCUGAGCUCAUCACACAGAUAGGCAACCGCUGCCACCCCAAACUAUACGAGGAGGGGGACCCCGCAGAGAAACUAGAGCUUGUCUCAGGUACGUGUGUGUUCAUAUCUCGAGCCCAGCUGAUGAACUGUCAUGUGAGUGCAGGGACCAGGCACAAGGUGUUGCUCAGGAGGCUGCUGGCUGCCUUCUUCGACAGGAAUACUCUGGCUAACAGCUGUGGAACAGGAAUCCGCUCCUCCACUAACGACCCCAGCCGCAAGCCCCUGGACAACAGAGUGUUGCACGCAGUCAAAUUCUACAGCCAGAACUUCGCCACGAGCUUCAAGGAGAGCGAGAUGAACGCCAUCGCGGCGGACAUGUGCACCAACGCCCGCCGCGUCGUCCGCAAGAGCUGGAUCCCCAAGCUGAAGCUGCUCAUGGCCGAGGGCGACGCAUACUCCGCCUUCCUCCCCGACGCCAAGAUGGAGGCCGACGCCCUAGGGGCGGAGCCAACCUUUGAACCCAACUCCCUGGAGGGCGCCGAGACGGGUGGCUCGUCCGGCGAGUCGCUGCAGGGGGUGGGCAGCGACGGAGGCACUUUGUUUUAGAUGGGGAGGUGGAGUACAGAAGUGUUUAGAAGACGAUGAUGAUGAUGAUGAAUACCUAUAUUUCCCUGUACUCCUUUCUUCUCCUCUGGUGGUGUGGCCCAUCCCCCUGACCCUUUGGCCUUUUGAUCCUCCACCUCCGACAUGUGACUCUGAAACGUUGCUAGGGGAAACAGGGGUUGUUACCUGGAUGUUAAUCAGGAAGUUAUGCUUUAAUUUUGAAAGCGAGAGUCCAAGCAAUCGUAACUUCCAAUAUGGUUUCUGCUGUAUAUUAGUAUGGGGGUAGAGAAAGGGUGAUGGGUUUGUGGGGAUGCAGUAUUUUUUGGGGAUUAACCAAAUUCCUGCCUCACCAUAUCAAAACACAUUCCCCUGGUUUUGAAUGUAGAUGUCAGCAGCAUUGCACAAUGUGAGUCUGAACGAUUGUAUCCCAACCUCUUGAGGAAAAAGAAACCGACAGAAAGAUAACUACUCUAUGGAUAUGAGAGAGACUGUAGUUUCUCUCUAGAAUGAGAGAAAGAGAAAAGGGGAGAGGGGGAGCAAUAGAAAGACCCCUAACCCACCAACCCCACACCCUUCUGUGACCAGAACAAAAUGAUUAUGCCCUCAGUUUUAAUGUACUGUCUCUCUUCUUGUAGCUUUUCUGAUCACAGCUCGUUUCUCUGUUUGUAACAUGGAUCCAGAGAUGAGGACUACAGGUGUACAACCUGUAAUUGUAAAGAAAUCCAAGGGGAACAGAAAAAGACGGUCAUAUUUUUUUGAUUAUGUAUUUAUACAACUGUUGUUGUGUACAGAGAGAAAGAGAGGGAUUGGUUUUAAAUCUGUUGUUUUAUUGUAUUUUGAACAGCUGUUUUUGCAAAGAAAGUCCUGCUCCGAAAAAUAAGAUUUAAAAGCAAAUAAGUAAAAGUGCUAUUUUUGCAUAAAAAUAUGGUAUUGAUCAAGUGGUCAGAAAAGUCUUAACGUAGGGCCUUUUGAGUUUUUUGUUUUGACAAACUAUUGAACUGAAAAAUCUGUUUUUAAGACAGAACUGGGCACUUUCUACCUGCGGCAAUCCAAUAUAGCUUAUUAUCUUAUUCUUGUCCUUUUUCUCUAUGGAAAUUGUCAAGGAAGCCUACCUAUGUGGCUGUUCACAACGAUGACUGACUCUGUUAUGCUUGCUAGCGAGCUAGCGACGUUACUAUGCUAGCUAAACGGCUUACUCGGAAAUCACGGCUAAAUGUAAACAUGCACAGCUUGAAUCAACUGGUGGACUGCUGCAACUAUCGUGCUAGCUAGCUAACCCCUCUGUUGGUUAGUGACUUGCUCCGAAGCAGACUACUGACAUCAUUACACAUCAUGAGGUGGUGAUUCAAUGACCGGAAAACAUUUGGAAUAAUGGAAUGUGCCUUUUUUAAUCAACAUGGAUAUGCAGGGGUGGGUCCUGCUUAUGUUGAUGUUGGGAAGGAGGGAGUAGAAUGGGGUUUAAAAGGUGGCAGGUCGUUCAGCUUGAGACAGUUGUAACACACACACACACGUGUUCCAAAGAGAGAUGGGGUGAGGUCAGGGGGAUUGGCAUUCCGGUGGAGUAUGUUGGUGUGUUUUAAACAGUCUCCUAUAUGUGCGAGAGCAUUUGUGUUCAUUCCUUGAAUGUGACUGAAAAGUAUAUUUGUUCCUGUGCGAUUAAUGUGUGUGAGUGUGUGCUUUAGGUGGGUGUGUGUGAGUGUGUGUGCUUUAGGUGGGUGUGUGUGUGCUUUAGGUGGGUGUGUGUGAGUGUGUGUGAGUGCGCUUUAGGUGGGUGUGUGUGAGUGAGUGUGUGUCUUCCACCUGGUAGUGUUUUGGAUUGGUUUAAGACUCCCUCUGCUGGGACACUUGUCUUUGUGAACGAUGACCUACACCAUCUUCCAUACACCUUUGCAAUCCAAAAGAUGUGAGACACCUUCAGAUAGAAAAGUGAUGUAUAGAGCGGACACAAUUCACUUUUCUCCAUACGGCAGAGAAGCAGGUCCACUCUGCAUGACAUUUCUGUCCUGAUUGCUGUUGUUUAACUCUCUCUCACGCUUGGUAAAUCCAAAAUGGACAAUGGUGGAUAUGUUAAAGGGGAGGUGAAGCACCUUUUUAAAUGGGAUGAACCCAUGUUUCCUGCACCUUUGAUAAAGGGUUUUGAUAUGUUGUGUGGAGAAUCAACCCAAGGGAUGGCCUUCUUCAAAUACUUUUAAGCGGCAUCCUUCCUCUCUUUCAUUGAUGUAAGCACUUCAGGGAAGGGACUAAAGGAAGGGUGCAUUUACAGAGUAUUGGAACAUAGCCUGCGUCUCAGAUCUGUGGAUGUGGGAUGCACUGGGAUGACUCCUGUUGUAAAUAUUGGGACCGUUGAGCUGACUUUCUUUCUACGCUCGUCUAGCGAUUUCCUAUGUAGGGUGAUUGUGUAAAAGUGUGGAAGCGAUGAAAGAGAACCGUUUUUUAAUAUAUUUUUUAUUUUUUACUUGGUCUCGCGUGUUGUCGAGACGUCAUGGAGACUGAUGUGUGUGUGUGUGUGAGCUCCCAGCAUGCAUUUGGCCUACAGGUCAGAGGAGGAUGAUGGUUGCUUUGGUCUUAAAGUACUGGCCUAAUGUGCUACUGAGUUGGUGUGACUGAAGGGAGGGAGGAGGGGUCAUCUUUAGGGAGAGAGGUAUCAUGGCUGCAGACUGUCCAUCAGAAUAUUGUACAGAAAAAAAUAUUAUUUUUCAAAAUGUUUUUUCUUUUAUUGCUUAUGUUUUCUUUAAAGAAACAUGUACUGUAAAGACCUUAAAGAAAUGCUACUAAUUGAAGGUGGUGAAUGAUUUACCUACUUCUUGCUGAAGAAAAAAUUGAAAAGGAAAGAAAGAUAACUGUACGAUAGCUAGACAGAGCACCGAUAGCUAGACAGAGCACCGAUAGCUAGACAGAGCACCAAUAGCUAGACAGAGAACUGUAUAUAUUUUUUUCAUUGUUUGUGAUGAGGGUUCUAUGAGAGGUUCUUCCAGGGGGACUAGGGCACUGUACUGUCUCUUGGGGGAAUGAUUUUUGGGGAGGUGGGUGGGUAGUAGUGGGUGUGUGGCGCUAUAGAGGUCUGAAUUACAAACUUUGCACCUGUUAUUGAACCUAUACACCAGGGUCUGAUUUCACCCUGCUGAACAGAUCCCAUGAUAUUAUGGACACUGUCAGAUCCAGUCUUGUUCACCACCUGCUGUUCACAUGUGGUACUGGAGCCACCACCAGAUGACAGUAUUUCCCCCACAGACCAUAGUCAUUGACUGAGUUGGUUACUAAGUGAUCAAAGUUCAGUUUUGUGUGUUUUGGAGGGGGUUACUUCUCUCAGCUCUGAAGCACAAGACUAUAGGAACAGAAAGGAAUGUUUGUUUGUGUGAGACAGAACAGUUCAAGCUGAUUCAUCCUCCAUCCCUACAGGUAGAUGUCCCUCCUCCCCCAACACACACAUCUCAAGAGGAUGGACAAAGGCAGUGUCCAGUAUGGUGUAUAUAGGCUUGGAGAAGGACCUUUUUUCACAUAUACAUAUAUAAAUAUGAAUAUAUGUAUAGAUAUAUACUGUAUAUUAUACAUAGAGGCACUAAAGAAGUUGGAUUGUUAGUCGUGCACUCUCAGCAUGAGGUAUAUACCCACAAACGGCUUAUUGAAACCAGUGCAGUAGUGUCCCCAAUGUUUCUGCCCCUGCUCCUUGCCCUCUGUGACCCUGUAGUGCCAGUGCUCAUUCUGUUCUCAUUGUUUUCCAAGUGCCAAUAACUUUGUGAAACCCCUUAACUGUGACCCAAUAUUAUUCAAGGUAAUUGCACAUUAACUAUUGUAAAGAAAAAUCAUUAAGAUAAAUGUCAACAUGGAUUAAAAAAAACUAUCUUAAUAAAAGGUUUGUAACAAAUGA